CCUACGGGAGGCAGCAGUGGGGAAUAUUGGGCAAUGGGCGCAAGCCUGACCCAGCCACGCCGCGUGAAGGAAGAAGGCUUUCGGGUUGUAAACCUCUUUUUUCAGGGACGAAGCAAGUGACGGUACCUCACGAAUAAGCCACCGCUAACUACGUGCCAGCGGCCGCGGUAAUACGUAGGUGGCAAUCGUUAUCCGGAUUUACUGGGUGUAAAGGGCGUGUAGGCGGGACGGCAAGUCAGAUGUGAAAACCACGGGCUCAACCGGUGGCCUGCAUUUGAAACUGUAGUUCUUGAGUACUGGAGAGGCAGACGGAAUUCGUAGUGUAGCGGUGAAAUGCGUAGAUAUUAGGAGGAACUCCGGUGGCGAAGGCAGUCUGCUGGACAGCAACUGACGCUGAGGCGCGAAAGCGUGGGGAGCAAACAGGAUUAGAUACCCUGGUAGUC
rnacentral:rRNA from 1 species